rnacentral:rRNA from 1 species
CAGUCGCCGCGGUAAUGCGUAGGUGGCAAGCGUUGUCCGGAAUUAUUGGGCGUAAAGGGCUCGCAGGCGGUUUCUUAAGUCUGAUGUGAAAGCCCCCGGCUCAACCGGGGAGGGUCAUUGGAAACUGGGAAACUUGAGCGCAGAAGAGGAGAGUAGAAUUCCACGUGUAGCGGUGAAAUGCGUAGAGAUGUGGAGGAACACCAGUGGCGAAGGCGACUCUCUGGUCUGUAACUGACGCUGAGGAGCGAAAGCGUGGGGAGCGAACAGGAUUAGAGACCCGAGUAGUCCAUGUCUCUUAUAA